rnacentral:rRNA from 1 species
GCCUAGGGGGGCAGCAGUGGGGAAUAUUGCACAAUGGGCGAAAGCCUGAUGCAGCAACGCCGCGCGAGCGAUGAAGGCCUUCGGGUCGUAAAGCUCUGUCCUCAAGGAAGAUAAUGACGGUACCUGACUAAGAAGCCCCGGCUAACUACGUGCCAGCAGCCGCGGUAAUACGUAGGGGGCAAGCGUUAUCCGGAUUUACUGGGUGUAAAGGGAGCGUAGGCGGUUUAGCAAGUCAGAAGUGAAAGCCCGGGGCUCAACUCCGGGACUGCUUUUGAAACUGUUGAACUAGAUUGCAGGAGAGGUAA